AGCUCGUAGUUGGAUUUCUGGCUGAAGCGACCGGUCGGGCGUUGAUUCGUCUGCACUGGAGUCGGUUUUGGCCAUCCUCUAGGAAAGUGCGUCUGGUAUUAAGUUGUCGGGCGUAUGAUCCUGGUCUUUUACUGUGAAAAAAUUAGAGUGUUUAAAGCAGGCCUUCGCCUUGAAUACAUUAGCAUGGAAUAAUAAGAUAGGACUUUGGUCUAUUUUGUUGGUUUGCAGACCGAAGUAAUGAUUAAUAGGGAUAGUUGGGGGUAUUUAUAUUCCGAUGUCAGAGGUGAAAUUCUUAGAUUUUCGGAAGAUAAACUUAUGCGAAAGCAUUUACCAAGGAUGUUUUCAUUAAUCAAGAACGAAAGUUAGGGGAUCGAAGAUGAUUAGAUACCAUCGUAGUCUUAACCAUAAACUAUGCCGACUCAGGAUUGGUGGACGUUUAUUUAAUGACUCCAUCAGCACUGUAUGAGAAAUCAAAGUCUUUGGGUUCCGGGGGGAGUAUGGUCGCAAGGCUGAAACUUAAAGGAAUUGACGGAAGGGCAC
rnacentral:rRNA from 1 species